rnacentral:rRNA from 1 species
CAAGUCGAACGAACCUUCGGGUUAGUGGCGGACGGGUGAGUAACGCGUGAGAAUCUGCCCUCAGGAGGGGGAUAACGGCUGGAAACGGCCGCUAAUACCCCAUAUGCCGAGAGGUGAAAUGAAUUUCGCCUGAGGAUGAGCUCGCGUCUGAUUAGCUAGUUGGUGGGGUAAGAGCCUACCAAGGCAUCGAUCAGUAGCUGGUCUGAGAGGAUGAUCAGCCACACUGGGACUGAGACACGGCCCAGACUCCUACGGGAGGCAGCAGUGGGGAAUUUUCCGCAAUGGGCGAAAGCCUGACGGAGCAACGCCGCGUGAGGGAUGAAGGCCUCUGGGCUGUAAACCUCCUUUAUCAAGGAAGAAGAUCUGACGGUACUUGAUGAAUAAGCCACGGCUAAUUCCGUGCCAGCAGCCGCGGUAAUACGGGAGUGGCAAGCGUUAUCCGGAAUUAUUGGGCGUAAAGCGUCCGCAGGCGGCCUGAUAAGUCUGUUGUCAAAGCGUGGAGCUUAACUCCAUUUCGGCAAUGGAAACUGUGAGGCUUGAGUGUGGUAGGGGCAGAGGGAAUUCCCGGUGUAGCGGUGAAAUGCGUAGAUAUCGGGAAGAACACCAGUGGCGAAGGCGCUCUGCUGGGCCAUAACUGACGCUCAUGGACGAAAGCCAGGGGAGCGAAAGGGAUUAGAUACCCCUGUAGUCCUGGCCGUAAACGAUGAACACUAGGUGUCGGGGGAAUCGACCCCCUCGGUGUCGUAGCCAACGCGUUAAGUGUUCCGCCUGGGGAGUACGCACGCAAGUGUGAAACUCAAAGGAAUUGACGG